GACGAACGCUGGCGGCGUGCUUAACACAUGCAAGUCGAACGGAAAGGCCCUGCUUUUGUGGGGUGCUCGAGUGGCGAACGGGUGAGUAACACGUGAGUAACCUGCCCUUGACUUUGGGAUAACUUCAGGAAACUGGGGCUAAUACCGGAUAGGAGCUCCUGCUGCAUGGUGGGGGUUGGAAAGUGUCGGCGGUUGGGGAUGGACUCGCGGCUUAUCAGCUUGUUGGUGGGGUAGUGGCUUACCAAGGCUAUGACGGGUAGCCGGCCUGAGAGGGUGACCGGCCACAUUGGGACUGAGAUACGGCCCAGACUCCUACGGGAGGCAGCAGUGGGGAAUAUUGCACAAUGGGCGGAAGCCUGAUGCAGCAACGCCGCGUGCGGGAUGACGGCCUUCGGGUUGUAAACCGCUUUCGCCUGUGACGAAGCGUGAGUGACGGUAAUGGGUAAAGAAGCACCGGCUAACUACGUG
rnacentral:rRNA from 1 species